GUAAAUGAUAUGUUUUAAAAUUGAUUGUGAGCAGCCCGACCGAAAUUUCAGAUGGAUUUUCACAAAGUGAUAUGUUUGAAAUCUGCAUGUUUUACAAAUGCAUAGUUCACAAAUACAUGUUAAAUUAAUGCGUGUACGGAUGCUAAACAUUAAAAUAUAAUACAUAUGCAUGCAGGAUAAAGGUUAUUUUUCAUAUUGUUUGAGGAUAAAAUGAAUAUCAAAAGGUGC
rnacentral:lncRNA from 1 species